rnacentral:misc_RNA from 1 species
CAGUGGUCAGAGUACUCUCGGC